rnacentral:rRNA from 1 species
UACGUAGGGGGCUAGCGUUGCUCGGAAUUACUGGGCGUAAAGGGCGCGUAGGCGGCACUGUUAGUCAGGCGUGAAAUUCCUGGGCUCAACCUGGGGACUGCGCUUGAUACGGCAGAGCUUGAGGAUGGAAGAGGGUCGCGGAAUUCCCAGUGUAGAGGUGAAAUUCGUAGAUAUUGGGAAGAACACCGGUGGCGAAGGCGGCGACCUGGCCCGUAACUGACGCUGAGGUGCGAAAGCGUGGGGAGCAAACAGG